rnacentral:rRNA from 1 species
GACGAACGCUGGCGGCGUGCUUAACACAUGCAAGUCGAACGGUGAAGGCGGAGCUUGCUCUUCGGUAUCAGUUGCGCACGGGUGAAUAACACGUGAGAAAUCUGCCCCUGACUCCGGGAUCAGGGCUGUAAACGGCGUAUAAUGCUGGUUAUGAGCGGCGAAGGCAUCUUCAGCAGCUGGAAGGAACAUCGGUCAGUGAUGAGCUCGCGGCCUAGCAGCUUGUUGGUGAGGUAACGGCUCACCAAGGCGUCGACGGGGAGCCGGCCUGAGAGUGUGACCGGCCACACUGGGACUGAGACACGGCCAAGACGCCUACGGGAGGCAGCAGUGGGGAAUAGUGCACAAAGGGCGAAAGGCUGAUGCAGCAACGCCGCGUGAGGGACGACGGCCUUCGGGUGGUAAACCUCUUGUAGCAGGGAAGGAGCGAAAGUGACGGUACCUGCAGAAAAAGCGCCGGCUAACUACGUG